rnacentral:tRNA from 1 species
GGCGACGUAGCCAAGUGGUAAGGCAGGGGUCUGCAAAACCCUUAUUCGUCGGUUCGAUUCCGACCGUCGCCUCCU